rnacentral:tRNA from 1 species
GCCCCUUUAGCUCAGUCGGUAGAGCUACGGACUUUUAAUCCGAAGAUCCGUAAGUUCCCGCGCUGGGGCC